rnacentral:lncRNA from 1 species
UCAGACCAUCUUUUUUACCUGGAGUGUGUGUUGUGCACCUGCUCACAGGCAUGUGUACAUGAAUGUUAUUUGUAUGUAUAUGUAUACAAUUAUGUAUGUAUGUGCAUGAGUACAUAUAUUAGCAUGCCAAAAGUUCUUUUGUCCAAGUUCGAUCAUCUAAUGAGCAGUAUGACCAAGGAAAUUAUGCAGUCUUUUGCAUUGCGAGCUGAGAGAACAGUGAUAUAUGUUGGCACUUUUCAUGCUGGCCUUCACUGAGUAUUAUUGGCUCUUGCAAGAAUAUCCCAAACACAACCCUUUGGGUUGAAGUCCUGUCCAUCCAACCUUGCCAUAUCUUUGCUGGUUUCUAUCAUCCCUCAUUGAGGACCACCUGAUCUAGCCAAAAUUUUUCCAAACCCACCAUACAGAGGUUCCCCUAUCCAACCCAAAUAGUGGCCGUGGUGGUCCAACAAGCCCCCAAGUACAUUGCUGAACAACCUGAACUAUUCUGGGUGAGUGCCCCAACCAAUAGUAGCAUCCACAGUCAGAUUAUGGUAUCAAAGUUGGGUGCCAUUCCUCCAUCCAUGCUUGUUCUUUUGUUCGCAGCCUGUGUUUGUGCUUGGGCCUAUGUUUGCACCCAUUCUUACACAUGCACCUUAUAGACUUUGCUCCUUGUAUGCCCAUGCUCAUGCGUUUUGUGCCCUCAUCUGUCUAAGUCCUUAGUUGCCGUGCCCUCAUGUGCAUGUCAACUUUUGCUUGUGCCCAUGGUGGGUGUCAUCACCCUAUGUUUGUAGUGUGAACUCGUGCUUGCAUACUUGUGCCCCAUACCAUCAUGCACCUACAUUCUUCUUUGCUCAGUGUCUUCAUGCACUUGUCUCCUCAUGCUUAUGCCCAAGCUCAUGCUUGUUCUUUCUUACCAGUGACCCCUGCGGCCUCACCUUGCACCUUCAUGUACUUGUAACCCUUGUUGGUGCCCAUGUUUUCCUCA